UAGGGACAGGGGGGAGUGGAGCACCCAGUUGGGGCGUAUUGCGCCGUUAGAGGUGAAAUUCUUGGAUCGUCGCAAGACGGACAGAAGCGAAUGCAUUUGCCAAAAAUGUUUUCAUU
rfam:Harpegnathos saltator strain R22 G/1 HarSal_1.0_3.contig6095, whole genome shotgun sequence.